GACGAACGCUGGCGGCGUGCCUAACACAUGCAAGUCGAGCGGAGAUGUACUGAAGAUUUAUCGGAUGUACAUCUUAGCGGCGGACGGGUGAGUAACGCGUGGGCAACCUGCCUUUUCACUGGGGGAUAACACAGGGAAACCUGUGCUAAUACCGCAUGACAUCACGUAGGGCAUCCUAUGUGAUCAAAGGAGAGAUCCGGGUGGAAGAUGGGCCCGCGUCCAAUUAGCUGGUUGGUGAGGUAAAGGCUCACCAAGGCGACGAUUGGUAGCCGAACUGAGAGGUUGAUCGGCCACAUUGGGACUGAGACACGGCCCAGACUCCUACGGGAGGCAGCAGUGGGGAAUAUUGCGCAAUGGGGGGAACCCUGACGCAGCAACGCCGCGUGAAGGAAGAAGGUCUUCGGAUUGUAAACUUCUUUGAUGAGGGACGAAUAAAGUGACGGUACUACGAAAACAAGCCACGGCUAACUACGUGCCAAGCCAAGCCGCGGUAAGGGUA
rnacentral:rRNA from 1 species